AAGUCGUAACAAGGUUUCCGUAGGUGAACCUGCGGAAGGAUCAUUACCAACUUUAAUCCAAAUCUCCAACCCCAUGUGAACGAUGGCUGUUGUCUGUCCUUGGGGUGGCGUUUUUUGGUUGUCUUAUGACAAUACAACCAAGAAUAUUGUCCACCCCAAAUUUGUUCAACCCUUUAUUUUAAUUUUUGGCAUCUUGUCUUACUAAAUAAAUAAAAGGACAACUUUUAACGGUGGAUCUCUUGGCUCGUG
rnacentral:misc_RNA from 1 species